CAUGACCACACCCGGCAACAAGGGAGCCUGGGGAUGCUUUCCAGUGGCCCAUGUAGCAGAAAAAGGAACUCUUUGUUGAUACUAAAGAUGUUUAUUUCUUUCCCUUGCUGCAGAAGAUACUAAACCAAAAAAAUGACAAAGCAUGUGGCCCAGCCCUCACCUAAUCUGCUCAGAAAUGGGCUUAGGACCUAAGCUAGUCCAGUUACACUGGAAGUCCAGACUGUGUUGGGGUGGCUGGGUGUUCCAUGUUGGAGAUAAACAAGGGAAUAUGUUGUUCUACUUCAGAAUUUUUCGGAGAAGAGGUGGGAUGAGGGGAAGUGGCUCAGAGAUCAAAACUGAGCCCAGAAAUGACAGCCAAAUGAGUGGCCAGGACUGAUGACACAUACCUAACUUCAAGGAGCAGGAGGCCAGGCUUACAGUGGAGUGUAAAUAAAUGGCUGUGAUCACUACCACAGAAGACAAUCCUAUUUCAAGAUGGCCUGGAAGUUGCACAAAUCCAUUUUUGGUGAAUGGAUUUGUCAGACUCUAGACAUGUGGAAACUCCUUGGCGUAAAGGAAGCUGGUAAGUGUAGUCUUCAUUUUUGUUGUACUGACUAUGAUUUCUUCACCUCUUUGUGAUUCGUUCUUAAAGUUUCUAUCCUUGUU
rnacentral:lncRNA from 1 species